rnacentral:rRNA from 1 species
UACGUAGGGGGCUAGCGUUGUCCGGAAUCAUUGGGCGUAAAGAGCGCGUAGGCGGCUAGAUAAGUCCGGUGUGAAAGUCACAGGCUCAACCUGUGAAUGCCGCUGGAAACUGUCUGGCUAGAGUCCGGAAGGGGCGAGUGGAAUUCCUGGUGUAGCGGUGAAAUGCGCAGAUAUCAGGAGGAACACCAAUGGCGAAGGCAGCACUCUGGGACGGUACUGACGCUGAGACGCGAAAGCGUGGGGGAGCAAACAGG